AACUUUCAUCUACAGCCCUAAAACUCCACCAAACCACACCCUCAAACUGCACCUAAAUUAGCCACAAAACAAGCCUAAACCGUAGCCUACAUCCACCGAUCUACCAACCCUUUCGACCAUCAGCUCUCUCAACCAAUACAUGCCUUUAACCCAACAACAAAAGAGAGAUCUUAACAUCACAGAUUUGGUGGCAUAUACUAUGGCAUCUGAGGAGGUAAUCAAUGCUAAAUUCGAAGCCUUCGAGGCACGAAUGGAGG
rnacentral:lncRNA from 1 species